GGCUUAGAGUUUGAUCAUGGCUCAGGAUGAACGCUAGCGACAGGCUUAACACAUGCAAGUCGAGGGGCAGCGGGGGUAGCGAUACCCGCCGGCGACCGGCGCACGGGUGAGUAACGCGUAUGCAACUUGCCUAUCAGAGGGGGAUAACCCGGCGAAAGUCGGACUAAUACCGCAUGAAGCAGGGGCCCCGCAUGGGGAUAUUUGCUAAAGAUUCAUCGCUGAUAGAUAGGCAUGCGUUCCAUUAGGCAGUUGGCGGGGUAACGGCCCACCAAACCGACGAUGGAUAGGGGUUCUGAGAGGAAGGUCCCCCACAUUGGUACUGAGACACGGACCAAACUCCUACGGGAGGCAGCAGUGAGGAAUAUUGGUCAAUGGGCGUAAGCCUGAACCAGCCAAGUCGCGUGAGGGAUGAAGGUUCUAUGGAUCGUAAACCUCUUUUAUAAGGGAAUAAAGUGUGGGACGUGUCCUAUUUUGUAUGUACCUUAUGAAUAAGGAUCGGCUAACUCCGUGCCAGCAGCCGCGGUAAUACGGAGGACCCGAGCGUUAUCCGGAUUUAUUGGGUUUAAAGGGUGCGUAGGCGGCCUUUUAAGUCAGCGGUGAAAGUCUGUGGCUCAACCAUAGAAUUGCCGUUGAAACUGGGGGGCUUGAGUAUGUUUGAGGCAGGCGGAAUGCGUGGUGUAGCGGUGAAAUGCUUAGAUAUCACGCAGAACCCCGAUUGCGAAGGCAGCCUGCCAAGCCAUGACUGACGCUGAUGCACGAAAGCGUGGGGAUCAAACAGGAUUAGAUACCCUGGUAGUCCACGCAGUAAACGAUGAUCACUAGCUGUUUGCGAUACAGUGUAAGCGGCACAGCGAAAGCGUUAAGUGAUCCA
rnacentral:rRNA from 1 species